rnacentral:misc_RNA from 1 species
UGGCUCUCGCAUCGAUGAAGAACGCAGCGAAUUGCGAUAAGUAAUGUGAAUUGCAGAAUUCAGUGAAUCAUCGAAUCUUUGAACGCAUCUUGCGCUCUCUGGUAUUCCGGAGAGCACGCCUGUUCGAGUGUCGUGAAAUUAUCAAGCUUAGAUGGCUUUAUUGCUAUUUUGGCUUGGAUUUGGGCUUUGCUGCGUUAUUGCGGCUGGUCUUAAAAGUAUUAGCUAGCUCUUGAUUAUCAAGUUUGGUUCUACUUGGCGUGAUAAUUUAUCUGACCGCUAAGGACAUCUUUGGAUGGCCAAGUUUGUUUCUGGGCUGCUUCUAGUAUGGUUAAUUCGGUUCAUCUGAGCCUUAUUCCGUUUUCCGACUUUUGACCUCGAAUCAGGUGGGACUACCCGCUGA